GGACAUGAGAGAUGGCUGCCAUCCCCUUUGUGGAAUAACUAUUUUGCUCAAAGGGUUCCACGAGACACAAGAGCACAUGUAUUAAAUUCGCCCAACCUCCGUAGUGUGUUUAAUCCAAACGUAAUUAAACAUUAAAAGAAAUAGUUGCUUCUGAGUGUGAGAAUCUUGAACCUUUCAAAUCUCAUCUUUGCCCCACAAUUACAACGAUUUAAACCAAACACCAGCUCAAAAGACGUUUAAAAAAGAAAACAUUUACAAAAGAAAACCAACCACAUCCUGCGCUGGUUCCACUUACAAUAUCACAGAGGUUGCAAGACCCGGCAGAUCAGAUUGAGGAGAGACUCAUCACAAUGACAAAGUGAAACGUGGGCCAGCUUCCCGGCCAUCAAAGCAAGUUCGGAGCUGCCUUUUGAAAAACACUGGGGCAACAGCUAAUGUGUCUCAUUGAAACGCUCGACUGGCUGUCAAUGGCCACAUUUCCCCACGUUAAAAGACAUCGGGCUUAGUGGAGGUGAGACUGGCACUUUUACUGGCGCCUGGCCUCACCUGGCUGCAUAACUUCACCAGCGGCAGGCCCAAAGUCUCCAGACACUCCUACUGUAUACAGGACUGUGCUGGCCCUUGGAAACCCACAGAGAGAGGCAGCGCGGUGGGCCACAGACUCUGGGCAGCUCUUGGCUGAAUUAUACAGCUUGGUGAGAUCCACUGAGGGUGACUUCACUUGCUGAAAGCCAAAACACGCUAAUAAGGUUGUGUUUCUGUGUGCUGAGACGGGCUGAGGUCUGUCCUGAAAGCCCUUUAAAGUUCAGGAAAUUCUGAACUCAUGUUCUUAUUGUUGGGCAAAAUAUUUUGUAUUAGGUUUUUAUCUCAUGAUUUGUUGGACUAAAUAAUCACUGUAGAUGGGAUGUAGUUCAGUACAAUUAUUCUUGUGUGGGUCCAUUAGAAACAAAAUACUUUUACAGGCCUUAAGAAUACAACUUGCAUUUGUUUUCAUUAUCAUAAUAAUAAUCUUUACUAUCUUGAAUUAUUCUGGUUUCCCCCAAAAAAAGCCCCCCCACACUUCAUCAGAACUGUAUCUGAGAUGCAAACGUCCAACCUUCCGGGAAAUAUUUGAAUUGGUGUUUUUAUAUUUAACUUGCUGCAAAUGGGGCAUUGAAAUUAAAUGAUGUCUUAAUGUUGAAGCCAGAACAACUUAGAAUGUUGGCAAUUAGCUAUUGGCAUGGAAGGAGGGAAAAUGCUGGGAGAUGUAAACAAAAUGGAAUAUGCUUUUAAAAAGAGAUGCUAAUCUUCACAAUUAGCAUCAUUUGCUGGUUUCCUCCACAUAAGGCAUUUUCCACACUUCUUGCGGAUUUAGGCAGAAUCCAGAUGGGUUGAAUAUUGACCGAAAUGAAAC
ensembl:lncRNA